rnacentral:tRNA from 1 species
GCGCCGCUAGCUCAGUUGGUAGAGCGGCUGACUCUUAAUCAGCGGGUCCGGGGUUCGAGUCCCUGGCGGCGCA